rnacentral:rRNA from 1 species
GUGUCAGCCGCCGCGGUAAUACGGAGGGUGCGAGCGUUAAUCGGAAUUACUGGGCGUAAAGCGGAUGCAGGUGGCUUGUUAAGCCAGAUGUGAAAGCCCCGGGCUUAACCUCGGAAUAGCAUUUGGAACUGGCGAGCUAGAGUACUGUAGAGGGCCCUAGAAUUAGAGGUGUAGCGGUGAAAUGCGUAGAGAUCUGAAGGAAUACCGGUGGCGAAGGCGGCCCCCUGGACAGAUACUGACACUCAGAUGCGAAAGCGUGGGGAGCAUACAGGAUUAGA